UCCACACCAAUAUGGGAAAAGUGUUUUACCAUAUGAGACUAUCAUUCACACACCCAAAUUCCAAUAGGUUUCUUCAUCUUUGAUUGAAUCUCUUCUCUGAUUCUGAUAAUCAACUGUCGCCAUCUCCAAGUGUUGUUGCAAAUUCGAAGAUUAUUUAUAAUGUCUUGGAAAAACAGAGGAGUUUCAGAAUCGAACUAAAGACUUUUGGUGUCAAAGCAACUGACCCCAUUGUUGUGUGUCGUUUGCUUCUUUUCCAGAUUGCUCUUCAACGACAGAUCUGGAUCUGUUUCGUAUCUAGGGUUUUAUCGUCUUCUAGCACAGAUCUUCAAAGUUGAUCUAAUGGCUUCAUCAACAAGGUCAAUCUACCUGCUGGAUUCAAGCGCAAAGUCACUAAUAAAUGAGUUUUAAGAAGGAUUGUUAAUAUGGCAGCCCACCGAAAUACAGUUAGACUUACAUAUUAAAAGAUCUAUCUAGGCGUCUUGCGGAACUUUAAGCCUGCGGGUAAUGGAAGAUGCUGGUAUGAGGUCUGAUUACUCUAUAUAUUUUUUCCAUAAAGCUCUACAUACUAGCUGAUGGUGGCACUAUUAUGUGUUUAUAAGUUAUAACUAUAUCUAUAUAUAUGAUAUCAGUGUUUUGUCUUUGUGAAUUUAACUGUUAAAGCCAUAUAGUUCAUGCCUAUUGAAGCUUGCUUUUUGCUCUGAGUUGGAUCAUGUUAACACAAAAUUGAUUUUUAUGUGUUCUAAGUGUUGGAAGUAAGAAGUGUUCAUAUGCAUUGCAAAAAUUUUCUGCCAUUCUUUGUUCUAUAAUGCAUAGAUCACAUGAUGCAGAGAUAUGAUCACAUCGCACGAGAAACAAGAAUUGAGAGAUACAAUAUGUUGGUCUUCCAAACCAUCAUGGACGCUCAUUACACUUCUCACAGGUUGCUUUGCAAGUGAAUAAAGAUCUUAGUGACCAAAUUGGAUUGAUAACCCAGUAUGUUGAUUAUAGGAAAUCAACGUGUGGAAUCGUCAAGCAAGAUAACAACAAUACCCAAGAAAAAGGAUUGAACUGGGGUGUAAUCUAUACAUGACACUGAUUAAUGGAUCUUGAAAGCAAGAAUUUUUAAAGAAGGUAAUUGUGAAAUUCUGAUACGUUCCUUUGCCUCCGUAUUGUACAUUUGACUAAAAGACCUAUGUAAUUUAAUAUAACAUUUAUGCUACUUUAUUUUAUUCACUUCAUGGUAAUGUGGGCAUGUGGCCAAAUAUGUGGGUUGGGUUAUGGCUCAAAACAUAUAAUCUUGCGUAGGUCAAAACAUGAUGGUGGACCAAACUAACUUUCGUCCAAUAAUGCGUUGUUAUCAAAGUAAAGUGUCUGUUCGCCCAUGCUCACAUAUUGGUGGCCAUAAUUAUGCUGGAAAUGUGAUCGAAACUCCUAAACUCCUGGGUCAUUGGCAAAGUACCUUACAUUGAUUUAUUUAUACUCAAUUUAAAAUGUAAAAUUGUUUAUACAAAAAAUAAGUUGUAAUUUGUAGAUUGCCUUCGGAGGUAAUUAUGAAUUGUUUAAUGUCUUUUCGAGUUGCGAUUAGAUUUAGUUUUCGUUAGGCGAACAGAGAUUCUAUGAGUAAUCAUUCAGUUGUAUGCUA